rnacentral:rRNA from 1 species
UAACGAAUCUUCCGCAAUGCACGAAAGUGUGACGGAGCGACGCCGCGUGUAGGACGAAGCCCUUCGGGGUGUAAACUACUGUCAGGGGAAAGAAAGUUCUGAUCUACCCCAGAGGAAGGGACGGCUAACUCUGUGCCAGCAGCCGCGGUAAGACAGAGGUCCCGAGCGUUAGGCGGAAUCACUGGGCUUAAAGCGUGUGUAGGCGGAUGCCUAAGUACCUUGUGAAAUCCCACGGCUCACCCGUGGAACUGCUUGGUAUACUGGGUGUCUUGAGCCACUUAGGGGCUACCGGAACAAAUGGUGGAGCGGUGAAAUGCGUAGAUAUCAUUUGGAACGCCAAUGGUGAAAACAGGUAGCUGGGAGUGUGCUGACGCUGAGACACGAAAGCCAGGGGAGCAAACGGG